UGAAGUCCAAGCCCAAUCCAACUAUCCCACAAUCCAAAGACGGGAAGUAAGUUUUUCUUGCUCUUACCCUAAUCGCAAAAGACGCAAGAUCAGGAGUGAACUCAUAAGAGUUGAAGCCAUUUCCCUUUCGUUGUUCUUCGCUUCUUCAGUUCUUCUACACCUCGCCGCCGCCUGCAACAACUCCGACUACACCUUGACACAGCCUGCAGCAGCUCCGACUAUAGGUUUGCUUCUCGUUUAGAAGAGCCCAGCUCCGCUUGCAGAUUUAGAUGUUUGUUCAAAAAGUAUUUGAGAAAUAAGAAAUUGUUCUUGUUUUAGAUGGCAACUAUCAACAUCCAGGAGGAUCUUAUUUCGAAAGAAAAAAUCAGGCAUGUUAUUGAUCAGGUAUAUUUGUAACUUUACAUAUGUUUUUGUGAAAGCUAAUGAUUUGUUAAUCUUUUACAGCAUCAGGAGUCAUUGGUUGCUAAUGUAAAUAAAUAUCAUUCUUUUGAAUAAAUAUGGGAUGGAUAGUGGAAGGAAUGCUUCCUCAUCAGACCAGAAAAGCCAGUAUAGUGCAUGUGAAGAUGAAAAGAUUCACGUCCAAGUUUGAUGCGAAGAACAACCAUUGGAAAUGACCCAAGAAAGUUCAACAUUAUCAAGCCAGAAUACCAACAAUUAGACAUUUUCUAGAAAACACCGAUGACUCCUUCAAUGCCAAAAUGCCAAGAUGGUAGCUUCGUUGAAGAGGUGGAUGGACAUCCAACAAUUCUAUAUCACAGAGACACAGACAUCAGCUUGAUUGGUUCCCGAUAUAAUAAAUUAAAUUAUUCUUUAAUCAUUUUGUUUCUCCGUAUUUGUAUUAAUAUGUAAACUUUAAUGUUUUUAUAACAAAACAUAUACCAUCCGGUUCCACCUGAAGGAGCAAACACAACAUGUAUUCACCUGAAGGGAGCACGGUUUAAUACCUUUAAUAGUGCAAUAUUUUUUUAUUUUA